GACCACGUUAAAACAUCUGUUCCCGUACAAUCACCGAAGUUAAGCAACGUUGAGCCAGGUUAGUGUCUAGAUGGGUGACCGCGCGGUAAUAUCAGAU